UAACACAUGCAAGUCGAACGAAGUAGCAAUACUUAGUGGCAGACGGGUGAGUAACUUGUGGGUAUCUACCCUUUGGCCUGGAAUAACACGAGGAAACUUGUGCUAAUACCGGAUAAGUCUUUACGGAGAAAGCUUUAUGCACCAUUGGAUGAGCCCGCACUUGAUUAGUUUGUUGGUAGGGUAAUGGCCUACCAAGACUAUGAUCAAUAGCUGAUUUGAGAGGAUGAUCAGCCACAUUGGGACUGAGACACGGCCCAAACUCCUACGGGAGGCAGCAGUGGGGAAUCUUGCACAAUGGAGGAAACUCUGAUGCAGCGAUGCCGCGUGAGUGAAGAAGGCCUUUGGGUUGUAAAGCUCUUUCGUCGGGGAAGAAAAUGACUGUACCCGAAUAAGAAGGUCCGGCUAACUUCGUGCCAGCAGCCGCGGUAAUACGAAGGGACCUAGCGUAGUUCGGAAUUACUGGGCUUAAAGAGUUCGUAGGUGGUUGAAAAAGUUGGUGGUGAAAUCCCAGAGUUUAACUCUGGAACUGCCAUCAAAACUUUUCAGCUAGAGUAUGAUAGAGGAAAGCAGAAUUUCUAGUGUAGAGGUGAAAUUCGUAGAUAUUAGAAAGAAUACCAAUUGCGAAGGCAGCUUUCUGGAUCAUUACUGACACUGAGGAACGAAAGCAUGGGUAGCGAAGAGGAUUAGAUACCCUCGUAGUCCAUGCCGUAAACGAUGUGUGUUAGACGUUGGAAAUUUAUUUUCAGUGUCGCAGGGAAACCGAUAAACACACCGCCUGGGGAGUACGACCGCAAGGUUAAAACUCAAAUGAAUUGACGGGGACCCGCACAAGUAGUGGAGCAUGUGGUUUAAUUCGAAGAUACGCGCAGAACCUUACCAACACUUGACAUGUUCGUCGCGACUCUAAGAGAUUAGAGUUUUCGGUUCGGCCGGACGAAACACAGGUGCUGCAUGGCUGUCGUCAGCUCGUGUCGUGAGAUGUUGGGUUAAGUCCCGCAACGAGCGCAACCCUCACUUUUAGUUGCCAUCAUUAAGUUGGGCACUCUGAAAGAACUGCCAGUGAUAAGCUGGAGGAAGGUGGGGAUGACGUCAAGUCCUCAUGGCCCUUACGUGUUGGGCUACACACGUGCUACAAUGGCAUCUACAACAGGAAGCAAAACGGCAACGUUAAGCAAAUCCCGAAAAGAUGCCUCAGUUCGGAUUGCACUCUGCAACUCGAGUGCAUGAAGCUGGAAUUACUAGUAAUCGUGGAUCAGCGUGCCACGGUGAAUGCGUUCCCGGGUCUUGUACACACCGCCCGUCACACCAUGGGAGUUGGUUCUACCUUAAGGCAAGGUUUUAAACCCUUGACCACGGUAUAGUCAGCGACUGGGGUG
rnacentral:rRNA from 1 species